CUUCUGUGGCUGGAGCCUGUGAGCUGGCAGAACAAACCUGAUAAAAUCUCUGUGCAGGUCCAGCUCCGUAUGCACUUCCUUAGCAUCCCCAGUGGGCUGUGUGAGGUGGUUGCUGUGUCGGGGAGCUGUGAUUUGUGAUCUAUGAUUCUCUGCGUGUAUUUGUACAAAAUGGCUGUGCCUAACAAAUUCCUUCUGUGAAGACUAUGUUCCUUGUGUUCUGCCACACUGGUCCUGGCUUUUAUCUAGAACCUUUUACAUUUCCUGUUUGUGCAUUCCAGUUCACACUUCCAUGUUACGCUAUAGUGUCUACAUCUCUUCUGAUGCAGUCAGACUUCACAGCUGUUUUGGUGCUGGUCUGUUAUAGUCAUCGAUACAAUUUCUUGUAGCUGUCGGUCUCCCUGAAGGUGUCACUGAAGCUGAGAAUCCAACUCAGAGGCAAUCAGCCAAGUUUGUGGGGGAAAAAAACCAACCAGAAGAACACAACACUGUGCAGGUCAGAGUAGUGUUUUCCUCUGCCUGCUGGCAGGCUGCUGCGAUUCUCCUAACUUUGGCGACGGAGCAGAAGUUCAGGCUUGGUCAGUUUGUAGGUGGGAGACUGCUAAGGAAAUUCAGGUGCUGCAAGGAGCGUUUUGUCAUUGUUGUUGUUGACAGAGGAGGUGGCAUUCCUCUCUCUCCAAGGGCAGCCUCAAUACUUCGGUGUGAUAACAGGGGACGUUGUCCUUCUGGAACUGCCAUCAGUCAUGCACGACAUGGAGAUUGCAUCCAGUUUAUACUGCAGUUUAAAACAUCCCAAGGCACCAGGAUUCUUAUUCUGCAUGGCCUCCUUGCAUUUCCAUGUAAACAGCUUCAGUGCUGCCUCCCUAAAUCUAUGUCCAUAUGAUAACAAGCGUUUGAGGCACUGUGUGUGAAGGACUGUAUUUGCAAGAGGAGAGGAGUGUUUCUCAAGUUUUACUGAAGUGCUGGUGAUAAAUGGUAACUUAGAAUACGAGGUUUGAGCUUAAACUAACAUGAAAGUGAUGUUACCUUGCAGUGGGUUAAAGGCACCCGUGGCCUUGGCUACUGCUGCUCAGUUGACAAGCUGCACACCCUGGUAACUCCAUCACUUACAGCCAUACAUCUCUGUAAAGAGACAUCAGUCUCAUUUGGACACGAUCUGUUCUUUCCCACAUGGAUGAAAUGCAUAGCGUUGCCAGUGUGCCUGGGAGGGCGGUGAUUGACCUGUGUUUAAUCCACGCGUUCCAGAUUGUUCUGUGUGAAAAUGGUGGGCUUUGUUUGCUUCAGUGUAGGGUACUCAGCGGAGGGAAGGCGCUCUUUGUAUUCAAGGUUUUCUUUCUUUAGGAACAAAUUCUCCACAGUCAGGCUGUGUAGUCAGAAGUGCUAGUGAGGCAAGGUCUAGCAGUAACUUUUCAUAGAGAACACUUGGAUUUUUGUAGCACAAAGGAUAACGAGCUGUCCUGCUGCCUGGUGGCACCUCCGAGGCACGGAUCUCAGGCACUCAUGGUGCUCUGAAUGCUGCGUGAAGCACUUCAGUUCUCUGGCCUGGAAGUACUGGGUACCAAUGUUUCGCAUUGGAUUACAAGUGUUAGAAAUCCUUCUUUGUUAGAUUUAAACUUGUGACUGCUGUAGAGACUCAUUCCGAAUGCUCCUGACGAUGUUUUAGCUUUUUUCUGCUUUCUAAAAUCUAAGAUGAAAAAGAAUGUAAUGAGCUGCCUUAUCUGUGCAGUUCUUGCUCUUCUCACACAUGAGAGGAACUGCUUUCUUUUCCUUUUCUUUCGCUACUAAUUAAUUUGAUCUUCUCUUUAUGUUGCUGAAGGUAAGAUACUGCCACACACUUGGAACAAGGAGGAAAACGUCAUAAACAAUGUAAGACAGUUCAGCUACCACUGUGAACUAUGCAUUAAUUGCAUUCAUUUCUCACCUUGAUCUAGCAUGACAAAAUGACUUGGGCGUUGAGCAGCAGUUGAUUCUUAAGUGCCUUCACACUUGAUGCAACCCCUGGUCCACACAAAGCCAUCUGUGUGUUGCAUGGGAAGAUUUGGGCACUUGAAAGUAGAUUCCUGCUAUUUGAGAAGGGAUUUGGGGAAUCUCACGGCACCUAAAUGUGGAGUUCAGGUAUCCUGCCCGAUUAGUUUGUUAUCUUCCCACGUGUGAUGGCUGUGUGUUAGCAGAACGCGUGUUGGAGUUACAGUGUUGUCUGCAUGGGUCUGUGCACUUAAAAGAGUCAGCCUGUUGGAUCUUAAAUGUGCGUCCUUUGUGCCUCUCCUUUUGCGUAAACAAGGCUGAAAGGAAGUCUGAAUUUGCGUUGUUACAGAUGUUCAGGACCAAACAACCUCUCUUACUUUCCUCUCAAGAUACACAAUGAUCAUGAAGGUAACGCAGCUUUAAUAGUAGUCCCUACACUAACAGGCAAUUCUGUUUCCUUUGAUGGAGAUUUGGGCUUUUGCUGCUGGAGCAGGUGAUCUUCCUGCCCUGGAGCAUGCAGUAGGCAUGUGUACAGCAGAACUUUGAGGCUUUUAGAUGUUUUGCCUCAUUAAUGUUUUCAAGCUUCCAUAGCUGCCCAGCUUGUAAAACCUGCACAGUAUGGGACUGUUCCCUAUUUUAUAAUCAUUGUUUAAUUUUGUUAUUGCAGUAAAACAGUGAAAACCAAUUAAUUUCCAGCUACUUAAGCCAUUUCCAUGGAUGCAGCUUCUUGUGGCAAACACUGAUGCAUGUGGAAUGGUCUGAAGUGAUGAAAUACUGAGGCGCAGAGGGUGGGGGCCCCAGCUUAACUGUUGUAACCUAUCCUGCCUCUGCAUAGGAAGCCUCCUGGGUAAUUGUUUUAACUGCUGGGUAAAUCAAAGUCAGCAAAAUGUUUCCAAAUGAGAGAAAAGCAGCCUAGCCAAAAUACGCUGUUUUGGAUAGUAGGGAGAUGAGCUGUGGAAAGGGUCCAGAGGAGGGCCACAAAGACGAUUAGAAGGCUGGAGCACCUGCCCUACAAAGAUAGGCUGAGGGAGGUGGACUUGUUCAGCCUAGAGAAGAGAAGGCUCCAGGGCGACCUCAUUGCAGCCUUUCAGUACCUAAAGGGAGCAUAUACACAGGACCUUGCACCUUCUGUAAGAAAAAGAUUAUGUUCUCAGUUAGGGAAACCUUGCAGAGGGAAAGAAGAGCAGAGAUGUGAGCAGGGGUCUCCAGCAGAAGAGACAGAGUUCCUCUCCGCUUCCAUAAGGACAAAGUGAUGAGGGGAAAAAGGAUUUGCUUUAAAACUUUGCUACUGACUGCUUUCCCAAGCACAGCUCAGGUUUUUGUUUCUGUGUAAGGAGAGGGCUCAUUUUAGAACCUGGUAAACUAGAAGAUACUAGUUCGGUCGGUUUGGUUUCUUGGGGUAUUCUGAUGUGCUCUGAAGCACUGUAACACAGCUGCAUAAUGCUAUGCAUUUAAUUUGUCUAUAGAAUUGCUAUUAGCAGCAUCAAACUAAAAGUUUUUUGGACAGUGUCAUCUGCAAUCUGUGCAUAGAGAUUCUAGGAAACUCAGUGUCAUGGCAUUGAAGUGUUGUUUCUUUGAGGUUUUCACUAGCAGCCCAAACAUUUACAAGCCUGUGUGUUUCUCUGACGUUGCAGCAUUUCCAGAGAGACUCUUUUAAAUGCCAGUGGAAAGGGAAGGAAUCUCAGUGGUCAAAAUGAAGGAGCUGCCAGUUUAUCUCGGAACAAGUUUCCUUGCAUCAGAUACCAGAAGUCUUUUUGUUAUGCAUUUGAUACAUCUCUUCUCAGCUUUACUUCUCAGCUCUAAAUGCUGCAGUCCAAUACAUUUCAUCCAUCAAUCAUUAGAUAAAUCUAGAUGUGAAACCAGUCUGCUAUCGAGGAGCUGCGCUAUGGAAGGGGAAGCCAUGGGAGCUGGAGGAGAAUUUCUGCUUUCAAGGCUACUAGAGCUUAAAUGAAAGAAAAGUCCUUUAAACCCUGACCUUGAGCUGCUGGAUUUCCUUUGUUCGUGUUCUCUUCUAGGAGCCACACACUGGCUUUAUUUACACUCAGUAAAGUAAAUCAAUGUGUGACACUGUCUCCUACACACAGGCAGAUGCUGAUUUCUGGUGGAAAUGUUUUUGUGUGUGUGUGUGUUAUUCUGCAAUUAAUACUGUCAGGAGGCCUCUUAAUAGUCUGUAUUUAUUUAAUGCUUUUUUGAAGUAUUUUGGUGCUUUACAAACGUACUUGCAUGCUUUGAUUCCAUUCCCAAAGGACAGAUGCCUCGGGAGGAAACAUAGAUACAUAUCACAGAAUCAUAGAAUGCAAAGGGUUGCAAAGGACCACAAUGAUCAUCUAGUUUGAACUCCCCUGCCACAGGCAGGGUCACCAACCACUAGACCAGGCUGCCCAGAGCCACAUCCAGCCUGGCCCAAACCACCUCUUAGUGUGAGAAGGAGAACAGCACUUCAGGUAACCUUAGGAAACUCUAAUGGCUUGGAGGAGUUGGUCUGAUGUACGGUGACCCCAUCUGGUGACCUGAGUGACCUGUCCUUUUAGAAAUCACACGCGUCUGUUUUCUAUGUCUUGUGAAUAUCAAAUGCUGAGCCAAAGCAUUAGUUCAGCGUGGAGGCAGAUAAGUUGUGUCACAUCUUGGCGCUGGGCAGUCACUGAUGCAAGGCCCGUUCUGUGCUUGACUUGGAUUAGCAGGGUGUAACCUAUGAAAUAAUAUGGCCCAGGGCUCCUAUUGAGCAGGAAGAGACUAAAACUGUGGUAAAGAGAUCUGCUGUUUCUGUUCACGGAGAACAGGUUUAUCUUCAUGCACCUACAGGUUGGGUCACUAACUAAAGCUGGCUUCAGGAAGCUCUACCUCCCAGAUGAAAAAAUGCACGCUCCGUCAGCUCACUGAAUCAAUUGAGUUCAGCUGUGUUCUGCCCACAGCCUGGCUUCCUGCAGGGGCUGAUCAGCACUCAUCCUAAAAAGCAGCCAAGCAUUGCCUUCGUUGGAUGCCAGGAGAACGUCCCACUCAAGUAAUCUUCCCCUUCCACCCACACCAAGUCUCCCAGUGCCACGUCGGACAAGAGGUGGUGGUGAAGGUCGUGUGGGCUGUCAUCUCCAGGAUUAGUAACACCUGUGUGAGUGAGAACAUCCUGUGAGUUUCCUCCUCCUGUUACAGCUCUGGGAAGGAGAUCAGCUUCCACAUCCUCAAGGUUCCAGAAACAGCCUAACAUCCAGAACAAGUGAAAUCGUGUCUGCAUGAAGCUUCAGUUAGUGACAAAACAACCUGUUGCUGCAGUAAAAAGCACAAGGAGGUUAUCACUCGUUCAGCCCAACAUCCAGAUUUCAGUCUCCUUAAAGUAAGGUGCGGGGGCUUCCAAAGGAGCAAAGCUGGCGCCUUCUUUUCUGUGGUGCAUACUGAGAACCCAAGAAGGAAAACGUUCAAGCUGAACUACUUGACCAGCUGCACACGCUGACGCCUCAAUGAAAAGAAAAAAAGAACGAAGAGGAGAAGGAGACAGAAAAAUGUAUCCUUGUGACUUCUGGCUUCAAGAACUGUUAUUUCAGAGUGGCUCUUCGCAGCACCGUUAGUUUGUUUUCCUUGAAAAGCUGCUACCAGGCACAGGUAAACCCACUGCUGCACGAGAUCACCACGUAAAAUGCGCACUGUGGAUAUUUUUCAAGUUUAAUCUUAUUCACUAUCUUUUCCAGUGUGGUCCUUCAUAAAGUAUACACAGAGGCACUCUCAGGUAAGGUUAUGGGCUGCCUACACUAGAACUGUACCUUCAUACAUCAGCUUUUGUGCUGAGCCGUUGCUUAAUGCUUAAGUUACUUUUGUUUCAUGAGGAGUAUUACAAUCAGGUAUUUGAGUGAUGAAAUAAACAUCUGGUGCCAGUAAACACAGUUCAUUUUAAAUAGCGUUGUCUAAAAAGGUUUCCAUUUGUUUUCUACGUUUAAAAGUACCCAGGAGCAUACAAAAUUAUUUCCAGCACAAAUUGGCUACCAUCCCAUUGUGACGUUAAGGGAUUACUUCAGUUAGACCCUCUCUUUGCUGCUCGGCAGACGACUGACUGCAGUAACUACAAUAUGACAAGGAGAUUAUCAGUUCAUUUGUGUGGGCACUUCUAACUGUGUGCAUCACACAGGCACUACGCAUGGGUGCUGUCAGUUAUUGCACUGGUACAAUUCUUAAGGCUCUGGUAUAAAACCUCUAUUUUUAAUGACACCACUAAUAUCACUUUUCUUCCUUGGCGAGUCCUUGCACUGAUACAGUCACUGUAAGUUACAAAAUAUGUUCUUAUACCUCAGAGACUUUUACACGGCUCCUAGCACGCUCACAGAAGGAACUGCAGUGACUGCAACGUGAACGGAGCAACACAAUGAGUUGAAUAUAAACAGGCUGUUGUAUUCAAAAGGCCAAUGGACUGCACAUGUGCCAAAAGAAGAAAGUCAGGUGAGAUUUGAACCUAUUCAUCACAUUCCAUGGAAUAGAUUAAAAAGUACUUAGUAUUACUUUUGGACUGCUAUAAUUGCACCAGGGCUCUCUUAGGGUGCUGCCUGCGCACUACUGAAGAGCGGCUCAAGUUCUUCCAUUUAACAGCAGCAUCACUUCUCACUCAAGACACAAAACCGCUUCAAAACAGUAAUCAGGUGUCAUUAAGGACAGGCUCUGUUGUCAACACCUUCCCAGGCAAUUCUUAUUUUUCCUCAAAGCCUCGGCUUGCACCCAGCUACAGGAUUGACACUUGGAAACAGGGAAGAGCUGUAUUACCCAACUUACCUUUACUAUAACACAGCCAUGUUGUUCAAGAAUCACAGUUUGCUAACUGAAAGUACCACAGUCAUUUCUGAGGAAAUAACAGGUGUGCAAGCUGCAGGAAUGAGACACCAUUUCAAUUCCAAACAAUUUUCAAAGUUGUUUUAAAUAAUCACCUUGCUGUUCUCUCUUCCUCUUCAAUACACGUUAAUUAGCUUUGUGCUUCAAGCUUCUGAAUGAUUAAGAAUCUACAGCUCUUUCUCGAGUCAUCCACGAGGUGUACAGUGUCUGCAGGUGCAGAAGUUGUUCCAAGUGCAUGAAAGAACACCGAGGACAUUUUAAAACUUCCACGGCAAUGGCAGAGCGCACCGUCCGCGCCUGACCUGCACAGCAGCACAACCAACCUGGCCUUCUGACCUAACGUCACGAUUAAAGUGACCGAUACUCAGGCUGCAGGAGAUUGAGCCCGAUGCGCGUACAAACAAAAUCUCUACGUAAGUUGGAGUGAAGCAAAAAAUACAAUUCUCCCCUUUUGAAAUGGCAGAAAAUACUGUUCGCCUUCCACCAACCGUGAAUGCAGCUCUGAGUUACUGGCUUAACAUUGGUAUUUUCCCCACUAAUAUAUUUCUCACAUGAACUUACAGCAGAUUUGUAGUGCAAAAUAGCCAGACCUGUUGGAAUAGGCAGAAAGGAAUUCAAACUUUAAUCUGAUUGGUUUAAUUUUUUUUAGCAGGAGGAAAAAGAAUAAAGUUACAAGAUUCUUUUAAUAUUUUCACAAUGUUAAACUAAAACUGAGCUCUAGGCUACAUGUGUAAGUAAAUCUAGAACACAAAAGGGUUAAAUAAGAUCUUCUUUUAAGAUACAGGAACUUAAGCUUUCUUUACGCUUAACAAACUUCACAGAACAGAUACUGCAAAGGAACAACCCCGUCCCCAACUUCUUUGUUUAAAGUGAACAUUGUCCAUAAUUCACAUGAACUUUUAAGUAGCGUUCUCGCAAGAGCCACCUUGAAACCAUCUGUGCACUUGCAGUGAGUUUAAAGAGAACAUUAAGGAGGAACAAAAUAGCAUCUUCAGUAUUAAUGCAGAGAAGUCUCGUGUGUCAUUCAGAAUGCCCAUCGAAUGCUAUGGAUAGGAUUUUGUAGGAAAAGAAAGUGCGUAUCACAGCAGCAGCUGAAAUCCAUGCCUUUAGAAAUUCUUCAUGGCAAAUGCAAAUCAUAUCCUUGGACAGCCCCUUUCAGCAGGACCGCUUCCUGAAAAUGCAGCACAUUACUGAAGACUCUGCUGCUGGCUUCGUAUUCUUGAAUAAUAACUAUAAUAACAAUAAUUAAAAACAAAAAUCACUUGCCUUUCGGAUAGCUUGCAUUUUAUAGUGAUGGGACACUUCUGAUUUGCUUCGUGGCUAACUUACGCUAAUACAGUCAGAUGCUGAACACGUGUGUGGAGAUAUGUUUGCUUUUUAUUUUUUUAAGUUAGUUAUCUCCUUGUUAAAUGCUUCUACCGGAGUAGCAGUAUGACUUGGCCUAUGAGGAGUUAGUUACCU